CCUACGGGAGGCAGCAGUGGGGAAUAUUGCACAAUGGGGGGAACCCUGAUGCAGCAACGCCGCGUGAAGGAAGACGGUUUUCGGAUUGUAAACUUCUAUCAAUAGGGAAGAAAGAAAUGACGGUACCUAAAUAAGAAGCCCCGGCUAACUACGUGUCAGCAGCCGCGGUAAUACGUAGGGGGCAAGCGUUAUCCGGAUUUACUGGGUGUAAAGGGAGCGUAGGUGGCAGGGCAAGUCAGAUGUGAAAACCCGGGGCUCAACCCCGGGAGUGCAUUUGAAACUGUCCAGCUGGAGUGCAGGAGAGGUAAGCGGAAUUCCUAGUGUAGCGGUGAAAUGCAUAGAUAUUAGGAGGAACACCAGUGGCGAAGGCGGCUUACUGGACUGUAACUGACACUGAGGCUCGAAAGCGUGGGGAGCAAACAGGAUUAGAUACCCCAGUAGUC
rnacentral:rRNA from 1 species